rnacentral:rRNA from 1 species
UAUUGCACAAUGGGGGAAACCCUGAUGCAGCGACGCCGCGUGGGCGAAGAAGUAUUUCGGUAUGUAAAGCCCUAUCAGCAGGGAAGAACAAUGACGGUACCUGACUAAGAAGCACCGGCUAAAUACGUGCCAGCAGCCGCGGUAAUACGUCUGGUGCAAGCGUUAUCCAGAUUUACUGGGUGUAAAGGGAGCGCAGGUGGCGCGUUAAGCCUGGUGUGAAAGCCCGCGGCCCAACCGCGGGACUGCAUUGGGAACUGGCGCGCUGGAGUGCCGGAGGGGUAGGCGGAAUUCCUAGUGUAGCGGUGAAAUGCGUAGAUAUUAGGAGGAACACCAGUGGCGAAGGCGGCCUACUGGACGGUGACUGACGCUGAGGCUCGAAAGCGUGGGGAGCAAACAGG